AUGCUAUCUUUGUCGAGACUAGAGUUUGAUCCAAUUAGCCCAGAAGAUCUACACUACACAUUGGAGUUUUUACCUUCUAAGGAAAGCAAAUCAAGGUUGAAUUUGAAUAUGAAACAAUUUCUCACAUAUGUUGAUCUCUAUAAAAUUGAGCCAUGGGAUCUACAAGAGUUAUGCAAACUAGGAAGUGAUGAACAAACUGAAUGGUUUUUCUUCAGUCAUAAAGACAAGAAAUAUCCAACUAGCAGUCGUACAAAUAGAGCUACAAAAGCAGGAUUCUGGAAAGCCACGGGAAGAGACAAAGCAAUAUAUUCUAACAAUAUUUGUCUGAUUGGAAUGAGAAAGACUCUUGUUUUUCUAUAA